UGGCCCUAAAAAGCAAAGUAAAAUAAAAUGAAAUAAAAUAAAAUGAAAAGACAGAAGCCUCCAGAGUGUCCAGAGAACCGAAGGAAAAUAAAGGAACUGCCAGGGGCUGAGGCUGCUCGGAUGGCACCCAACCCAGGUCCAGUCUCCCAGGAGCAGCCAGACCUGAAACCUCAGGCCCAUCGGGACACCGCCCCUUCAAACGCCCCCGCCCCUGUCGAGUCACUGAUUUCCUGCAAAAAGAAUUAUUAAGAGGCUGUGCCACUUUUUCAAGUGCAACCAGCCCUGGAACAUGUGUUUCAGGUUUUCCAUUUGUAACCGGGACUGGGUGACUCCCAGCCACAGAGCUGCCCUGGCCGCAUGUCUGGAACAGGGGCAUCGGGGACAGGGUUGACACUUCAUUUCAAAACUCCUCAGAAAAAGGCAGAUUCAGUCCACUCUGAGGUCUGCGGAGGGUGGCAGGAAGCCCUGCUAGGGGCCAUGGCUCACUUUUUUGGGUUCUUCUGAAGCAGAGCCCUGCAGAAUACAGCGGUUCCCAAGCCCCCCGCUUCCAGGGCCCCAGGAACAGCCAGGAUGCAUAGGAAGGAGCCCCCGCCCUAAAUUGGCCUAGAUUUCUGACACGCUGUGGGACUCUGGACAGCGAACUUAGCAGGUUUGAGCCUGCUGCCUCAUCAGCUAAACAGGAAUACCGCUGCCGGCCCCAUGGGUGAAUUGGGUGAAUUCUGACCGGCAAACGCGGCGUCCAGCUUGCCUCCAGGUUACUAAUCCGAGCGGUCACUGCUGAGGACAGCCAAGGCUGUAUGUGCAGGGACUCUGGGAUCAAUCUCAUCCCCGGCCCGCACCUUCGGGGCCUGCAAACUCCCACCACAGCCCCACCCAAACCUGCUGCAGCUUCCCCAGCACCUUCAUUUGCCAGCUGGGGUCCAUGGAGCUCAGAGAGGUUGUCCGACUUGUUGGAAGUCACACAGCCAUCACCAGGGGAAUGGGGCGAGUCCACCCGGGCUUCCUAAGUCCAACUCCAGUGCUCUGGACACUUAACAGAGUCCUUCAACUCUGGCUGCCCGGAGAGGUCCCACCCCCUGCUCCCCACCCGCCACUGCUUUCCCCCCACACACUGUGCUCCCACCUUGCUAGGUGCAGCCAGGGAGACCCACCACGGGGGUGGGGGGGCAACACCCACAGAGCUCCACCCUCCACAAACCCAUGAGGGGCCGGCUGAGUAGGGGGCAUGGCCUCGCACUGGUUCAGACCCGAGUCUGAAGCAGGCUGUUGUAUUAGGGGUGGGGAGGGGAGGGCCUUGGACAGGUGUCUUGAGCAGGACGUGCCUGGAGCACUGCCUGUCCCGGCCACGGCCCCUGCCUCAUUAAGCUACAGGAUGUAUUCUUGCGUGCCCCCCCGCAACCAGGCAGGGCCACCCCAGGACGUGUGGACCUGAGAGGAACUGAAGCUGAGCUGAGAGACCCCUCCCCGCAAGACUAAGGGACACUCAUUGUACCUGUGAUAAGGCCACGUGCGGACCCCCGAGGUCCCUCUGUGUCUCAGCAGAGGCGAGCAGACCCGUUCACCCCCUGCCCCAUCCUUCAGGCUCCCUGGGGGGACUUCUGUCCCCAGCACCCCUCCCCCACACCCCCUUCGUCCUUUCCCUCAGCUCUAAGUAACAUGUGGCUCCUACCGAGUGGGGUAGCCAGGCCUUAAGUGGCUCCAGCCAGGCCCCCUCCACCCACCUCCUGCACCGCAGUGGGGGAAGCACCUGCUCCCCCAGGGUGUCCACUGGCCAGGCGCACCUGCUCCGCUGUGCCUCUUUCCUGGACAGUCCCUCUGACACCAGACCCCUGUUGCAAUGGACAGGCUGAGUCAUACACCCUCCACCCAGCUCUGCCCCGCCCCAGGCUCUCUCCGAAACAGGCCCAGAGAGGCCAAGCACCUGGCCCCAGGUCACACAGCCAGCCGGUCCCCUGGAAGGGGACCUGUGUCCAUGCUGAGGGCCGAAUCCCAUACCAGCUCACGGGGACAGGGACAAAACACUGGGCUGGCUGCAGGGUUACAGUGGGGGCCCGCCGUGGGCCCAUGGCUCCGGACAGUGGCCUCGGUUCUGCACUAGCUACAUUUGGGGCGACUCGCAGAUGAUUGGGUUGUCAGCCAGCAGCCAAGGUCAGGGUGACUCAGCAUGGACUAGGCUGCCCGCAUCAGGGUGAAGCCUUCAGAGCACGUAUAUCCCCCCGAACCCCAGCGGAGGCGUGGGUGCAGCCCAGGGGCACAACCCAGCCAGGAGGCAGAUCUGAGGGUAGGCCCAGGAAGGUCACACGGACAGGUUCAGGAGCCCCUAGGACUGAAGAAAGAUGGGUGGGGGCCUCCUGCUAGGGUCCCGACCAUCACAGCCAAGGAGCUGCUGGGCUGGGCAGCGUCCUGCUGGUGGGGACAGAACAGGGCAAAGCCCAGGGUGGGGACAGGGGUUGCUCUGGGCCCCCAGCCAGCAAUCCAGAUGAGGGCCCAGGAAGGUCACACGGACAGGGGGUGGACUCACAUGCCCCCGGUCUCUGGCACCUGCUGUGAGUCACGGAAGGAGGGGCAGGAACUGGAGACCAACGUGGGCACGGGACAGGGCCCGCCUGGCCCUGGAAGCUCGUUCGUGAAGCAAAGAGAAAGGUGGACAGUUUCCUAGACGGCUCCCUGUAAGGGGUCUGACCCCCCCAAAGCCAGGGUGGGGAGGCCCGGGUGGGCAGUGCUUCCCAGGGUCCGGGACAGACACUCCGCACCCAAUCCAGCAAGUGCCCGGUGUGGCCACCACACCGUCCCGGGCCCCUGCCGCUCUCCACCCUCACCAGACUCCGUGUGUCCCCAUGCGGGUGACAAAGAUGGCUGGGGGGGAGGAGGGCGCCACAGCCUGGGCUCCCACCCCCGGUGGCCUCAGUCUCCUGGCUGUCACGUGGGGGCACCGUCUCGGGGAGAAGCCAAGGCCGUGGGGGUCCGGGAACCCAGCGGCUGGGAGUCUGGAGUGAACGUGCUGCGUGCGAGGCUCCGGGCAGAGUGUGUACAUUCCACAGGAUUAUGCGAGGGGUCCGAGGCCGGCGAGAGGGUCAGGGAGCCCACCCUGCCCCUCCCGCCGCCCUGGGUCACGCGCUCUGUGAAGCGCCCGCUGCCGCGGUCCCAUGACUCAGGCCCGGGCACUUUCACGUCUGGCGGGGAAAGCCGGAUUUCAGCGCUAAUUGCCAGGCUGCGGUCUGCACGCAGCUCACAGCGCGGGAUGCUGGGCUCGCCAGCUCCUUGGAGACACACAGAAGCCUCAGCUUCACGGGGCGAGGGGCUCAAGCCGGGCGGCUGGCAGGCGUCCAGGCACUCUGAGCUGGGUGUGGGUGGUGCGCAGGCCUCACGGUGACAGGCCUGGUCUGGGCCCCAGGGACACAGUGGUGGACACGUCGUGCAGGCGCCCACACCACCGGGAGGGGUCUCGACGGGCAGCCUGGCCUCCCCCGACCCUGGUCAUCACCCCGCCCCACAACCCUACCUGGGAGUCCGCUGGGCUCGCUCGCCCACAGCCAACCUCUUGCCACAUCUGCACCCAUCCCUGCAGGGGGCAGGUGUGCCCCAGCCCGCAGGACGAUACCAGGACAGCCCCCCAGCCCCGACGCAGAGCCGCCAGGCCUCCCUCCACCUCUUCACCCCUCCCUUCGUUUUGCUUAAAGAGGGGAGAGUAUUUUCCAGGGCAGCUCGAGAGACCAAGGGUGACACCAGACAGAGGGCAGGGGGACAAACAGCUACAGCCACCCGGGAGCCAGGCUCAGGCAAUACACCAUGGCCUGAGUCCCCGCAAACACCCACGUGUCGCAGAUGAGGAAACCCAGACUUGGAGGCCGCGGUUUCUCGAAACCGAACCUGGAUCUCCGUGCAGAUGGCAGGCUCCUUACCCGACCCCCCACAGAGGAGAUCUCAGGACACACGGGCCCAGAGGAACCACAGCUGAACACCCCUCCCCACUCCACAUAGGGUCACAGUGUGUGGGGGGGGGACUCUAGGGGACCUUUGGUGACCCCGUCUGUCUCCUGUGAAAAGGCAGGUGCUUUCUGGGUCCCACAAAGGACCACCAGGAAGGGCUGUCCCGACCCCAGAGUCCCAUUCUUAGCCACCAGCAGACCUGCCAGGGUCUAUAAGACUGAUGGAUGAUGUGUGUGACACAUAGGGGGUCUGGGGGCUAUCUUGGCAGACACCGCCGUACCACCCUCCACCCACUGGUGGGGGGGAGGGGGGGCCACCCGGUCUGCAGCCACUGUCCUUUCGCCUACCUGUCCUGGGCCAUGGAGACAGGCUCCGACUGAGCAGAGGGCAAAGGGAGCCCCUUCAAACCUUCUUUUAAGAGCCUCUCCGAGAGAUACAGGACUGGAUCAGGUCACAGCUGUGUUUCGGAACCACAGUGGCUCCACAUGCCUGCCCUGGGGCCCGUCCUCUCUGUGGCACCUGUCCCCAGCCUCUCCAGAUCCCACCAGACCCACAGAGAGGCAGCCAGAGAGGUUGGAUAAACUGGACCAGAACUCAGGUCAGCAAGAACCUCAGCUCUGCCGCAAAGACCAGCCUGGCGUCCCCCACAUCUCAAACAAACGGUACCAGUAAGCAGUUUCAAGAUCCAUGUAAACCUAGACUCCACCAAACUCCUAGGCCAGUGGGAAGGCAUUACAGACCUAGAAUCUCUCCCCUUCGGGACUCGUUAAAGACGUGCAAACACCAGGGACACACCGUGAAAGGGCCCCUUUCCAUCAUUUCUAUGUCAGGCCUCCAAGAAAAGGGAUUUUCACCCAUUUAUAUCACCAGCAGGCUCAUUCUAACCACCAAAGCCAAGCACAGUUGCAAUAAACAGAGAGCCGCCGUCCUGGGCCGGCCCAGAGGACAGAAGCCAUCAAGCAGCCACACCGGAGCUUGGCUCCAGCACCCAGCACACGCGGGCUGCUGGCUGGGGGUACAGAGGACCCCUUCUCCUCUCAGAGGUUCUAGAACCCAGUCUGUGUGCAAGAAACAACACUCAGAAACUUCCAUGGCUUUGCACUGCCUUCUCCGUGGCCCCCAAGGGCAGGCCCCCUCCCUGGACCUUUCUCUGUGCCCAAGGGAGAGCAGCUGUUCCGGCCAUGUGCCCCCCACCCCACGCCAGACCCCGUACAAGUGCUCAGUCUUGCAGACAGCAUCGCCCUUGUUACCAAAAAUCUUCCCCUCAGGAGAAGCAACGCACACACACAGACACGUGGGGUUUCAGAGGAAAAGAGUUCCACAGGCUCAAGAGGACAGGAAGAAUGUCACCCAGGGUCCCACCACAAGGGCUGCCAUUCACGUGACCUCCCCGCUGGAGGCAGAGUGCUGG
ensembl:lncRNA